ACACACACACGUCUUCUAUCUUUUGGGAUACUCACACACACACACACAUGUCUUCUAUCUUUUGGGAUACUCACACACACAUGUCUUCUAUCUUUUGGGAUACUCACACACACACACACACACACAUACACGUCUUCUAUCUUUUGGGAUACAGGACAUGCCAGGUAUUGUGAAGAGGAUGAAAGAUUCAGUUUGUUCCACUUGAAGCUUCCAUCCGUCCCAGUUCACGUUUCCCCCGUCCUUCUUCAUAUCAUUUGUCCAUAGGUAGGGUGAAACAAAUUU
rnacentral:lncRNA from 1 species